rnacentral:tRNA from 1 species
ACCUGGCUGGCUCAGUCAGCAGAGCAUGUAAUUCUUGAUCUCGGGAUCGUGAGUUCAAGCCCCAUGUCAGGCA